rnacentral:rRNA from 1 species
AGACCCGAAACCCGGUGAUCUAGCCAUGGGCAGGUUGAAGGUUGGGUAACACUAACUGGAGGACCGAACCGACUAAUGUUGAAAAAUUAGCGGAUGACCUGUGGCUGGGGGUGAAAGGCCAAUCAAACCGGGAGAUAGCUGGUUCUCCCCGAAAGCUAUUUAGGUAGCGCCUCGUGAAUUCAUCUCCGGGGGUAGAGCACUGUUUCGGCUAGGGGGCCAUCCCGGCUUACCAACCCGAUGCAAACUGCGAAUACCGGAGAAUGUUAUCACGGGAGACACACGGCGGGUGCUAACGUCCGUCGUGAAGAGGGAAACAACCCAGACCGCCAGCUAAGGUCCCAAAGUCAUGGUUAAGUGGGAAACGAUGUGGGAAGGCCCAGACAGCCAGGAUGUUGGCUUAGAAGCAGCCAUCAUUUAAAGAAAGCGUAAUAGCUCACUGGUCGAGUCGGCCUGCGCGGAAGAUGUAACGGGGCUAAACCAUGCACCGAAGCUGCGGCAGCGACGCUGAUGCGUUGUUGGGUAGGGGAGCGUUCUGUAAGCCUGCGAAGGUGGCCUGUGAGGGUUGCUGGAGGUAUCAGAAGUGCGAAUGCUGACAUAAGUAACGAUAAAGCGGGUGAAAAGCCCGCUCGCCGGAAGACCAAGGGUUCCUGUCCAACGUUAAUCGGGGCAGGGUGAGUCGACCCCUAAGGCGAGGCCGAAAGGCGUAGUCGAUGGGAAACGGGUUAAUAUUCCCGUACUUGGUGUUACUGCGAAGGGGGGACGGAGAAGGCUAUGUUGGCCGGGCGACGGUUGUCCCGGUUUAAGCGUGUAGGUGUGUGUUCCAGGUAAAUCCGGUUCACUUUAA